rnacentral:tRNA from 1 species
GCCGCCUUAGCUCAGCGGUAGAGCAGCGGUUUUGUAAACCGCAGGUCGCGCGUUCAAAUCGCGCAGGCGGCU